rnacentral:rRNA from 1 species
AUUAGUGGCGAACGGGUGAGUAACACGUGAGUAACCUGCCCCUUACUUUCUGGAUAACUGCUCGAAAGGGUAGCUAAUACGGGAUAUUCUGACCAUCCUGCAUGGGUUGGUUUGGAAAGGUUUUUUCUGGUAAGGGAUGGGCUCGCGGCCUAUCAGCUUGUUGGUGGGGUGAUGGCCUACCAAGGCUUUGACGGGUAGCCGGCCUGAGAGGGUGACCGGUCACAUUGGGACUGAGAUACGGCCCAG